rfam:Oryctolagus cuniculus chromosome 2, whole genome shotgun sequence.
CCAAAGGCCCCUUUCAGGGCCAAAAAAUAAAUCAAUAAAUCAAUA